ensembl:Y_RNA Y_RNA Y RNA
AGCUGGUCCGAGUGCAGUGGUGUUUACAACUAAUUGAUCACAACCAGUUAUGGAUUUCUUUGUUCCUUCUCCACUCCCACUGCUUCACUUGACUAGCCUUAA